rnacentral:rRNA from 2 species
UUUGAGUGAGUGGCGAACUGGUGAGUAACACGUGGGAAACCUGCCCAGAAGCGGGGGAUAACACCUGGAAACAGAUGCUAAUACCGCAUAACAACUUGGACCGCAUGGUCCGAGUUUGAAAGAUGGCUUCGGCUAUCACUUUUGGAUGGUCCCGCGGCGUAUUAGCUAGAUGGUGRGGUAACGGCUCACCAUGGCAAUGAUACGUAGCCGACCUGAGAGGGUAAUCGGCCACAUUGGGACUGAGACACGGCCCAAACUCCUACGGGAGGCAGCAGUAGGGAAUCUUCCACAAUGGACGAAAGUCUGAUGGAGCAACGCCGCGUGAGUGAAGAAGGGUUUCGGCUCGUAAAACUCUGUUGUUAAAGAAGAACAUAUCUGAGAGUAACUGUUCAGGUAUUGACGGUAUUUAACCAGAAAGCCACGGCUAACUACGUGCCAGCAGCCGCGGUAAUACGUAGGUGGCAAGCGUUGUCCGGAUUUAUUGGGCGUAAAGCGAGCGCAGGCGGUUUUUUAAGUCUGAUGUGAAAGCCUUCGGCUCAACCGAAGAAGUGCAUCGGAAACUGGGAAACUUGAGUGCAGAAGAGGACAGUGGAACUCCAUGUGUAGCGGUGAAAUGCGUAGAUAUAUGGAAGAACACCAGUGGCGAAGGCGGCUGUCUGGUCUGUAACUGACGCUGAGGCUCGAAAGUAUGGGUAGCAAACAGGAUUAGAUACCCUGGUAGUCCAUACCGUAAACGAUGAAUGCUAAGUGUUGGAGGGUUUCCGCCCUUCAGUGCUGCAGCUAACGCAUUAAGCAUUCCGCCUGGGGAGUACGGCCGCAAGGCUGAAACUCAAAGGAAUUGACGGGGGCCCGCACAAGCGGUGGAGCAUGUGGUUUAAUUCGAAGCUACGCGAAGAACCUUACCAGGUCUUGACAUACUAUGCAAAUCUAAGAGAUUAGACGUUCCCUUCGGGGACAUGGAUACAGGUGGUGCAUGGUUGUCGUCAGCUCGUGUCGUGAGAUGUUGGGUUAAGUCCCGCAACGAGCGCAACCCUUAUUAUCAGUUGCCAGCAUUAAGUUGGGCACUCUGGUGAGACUGCCGGUGACAAACCGGAGGAAGGUGGGGAUGACGUCAAAUCAUCAUGCCCCUUAUGACCUGGGCUACACACGUGCUACAAUGGAUGGUACAACGAGUUGCGAACUCGCGAGAGUAAGCUAAUCUCUUAAAGCCAUUCUCAGUUCGGAUUGUAGGCUGCAACUCGCCUACAUGAAGUCGGAAUCGCUAGUAAUCGCGGAUCAGCAUGCCGCGGUGAAUACGUUCCCGGGCCUUGUACACACCGCCCGUCACACCAUGAGA